CAGCUAGUUGGUGAGGUAAUGGCUCACCAAGGCUACGACGGGUAGGGGACCUGAGAGGGUGACCCCCCACAAUGGAACUGAAACACGGUCCAUACACCUACGGGUGGCAGCAGUAGGGAAUAUUGCACAAUGGGCGAAAGCCUGAUGCAGCAACGCCGCGUGUGCGAUGAAGGCCUUCGGGUCGUAAAGCACUUUUCUGAGGGAUGAGCAAGGACAGUACCUCAGGAAUAAGUCUCGGCUAACUACGUGCCAGCAGCCGCGGUAAAACGUAGGAGGCAAGCGUUAUCCGGAUUCACUGGGCGUAAAGCGCGUGCAGGCGGUUCGGUAAGUUGGGCGUGAAAUCUCCUGGCUUAACUAGGAGAGGUCGUUCAAUACUACCGGACUUGAGAGUGAUAGAGGAAGAUGGAAUUCCCGGUGUAGUGGUGAAAUGCGUAGAUAUCGGGAGGAACACCAGUGGCGAAAGCGAUCUUCUGGAUCAUUUCUGACGCUCAGACGCGAAAGCUAGGGUAGUAAACGGGAUUAGAGACCCCGGUAAUCCUAGCCGUAAACGAUGUAAACUUGGCGUCGGUGGCUUAAACUCCAUCGGUGCCGCAGCUAAC
rnacentral:rRNA from 1 species